rnacentral:rRNA from 1 species
CAGAUUGAACGCUGGCGGCAGGCCUAACNNNNGCAAGUCGAGCGGUAGAGAGAAGCUUGCUUCUCUUGAGAGCGGCGGACGGGUGAGUAAUGCCUAGGAAUCUGCCUGGUAGUGGGGGAUAACGUUCGGAAACGGACGCUAAUACCGCAUACGUCCUACGGGAGAAAGCAGGGGACCUUCGGGCCUUGCGCUAUCAGAUGAGCCUAGGUCGGAUUAGCUAGUUGGUGAGGUAAUGGCUCACCAAGGCGACGAUCCGUAACUGGNCUGAGAGGAUGAUCAGUCACACUGGANNUGAGACACGGUCCAGACUCCUACGGGAGGCAGCAGUGGGGAAUAUUGGACAAUGGGCGAAAGCCUGAUCCAGCCAUGCCGCGUGUGUGAAGAAGGUCUUCGGAUUGUAAAGCACUUUAA